GCUUAAAUGUUUUUUUUAACUGUGGACUGUAACAGCACUUUCCCAUCUCCCCCCGCCUGCAGGAUCAGCCUUUAGUUCAUUCCUCUCCUGCAGACUCCAGCCUCCUCCGGUACUAGAAGCAGAGAGCGCUGUGACCUAGAUGGGGAGGAGGCGAAGCUCUACAGCCUUACUUGACUCUGUCAUGGAAGAGUUUUCUGCUUUGCUGAUUUUCUAUUUAGUACAUUCAGCUAAGCAGCCUCCGAAGCAUACAAAGGCUGAGGUGAAGCAAAUGUCCCCAUAGCCAUCCUGCAAAGAAUGGCUUUCCUGCAGGCGCCAUGUCCCAGGGUGCUGCAGAAGUCACACAAGCUCUCCAGAGGCUGUUCCAAGACUGAUCACCUGGGAAGACUCCCUCAGUCCUACGAAUGCCAGUAUAAUGGUUUCACUCAUGAGAAAAGGACUUCAUAUUGACUAAGACCCUUGCCAAAGGCCAGCUGAGGAGAAGGAAGAUGGAGUUGGGAAGGAAAAGAAAACAGGGAACUGUCAUGCAACAAAAUGAGUCAGAUGUACACUCUUGUGGGAUGCCAGCCAGUGAGGUAUGAUGUUAUUGUCUAGAAUGUUUCCAGACCCAGCCGAAACUGGCUGCCAGGAAUAUUUUGGUCAGCUGAUAAUCACCAUCUCCACUUUCUGCUGGCAAUAACGGAGACUAGAUCAGGAUGGAGAAGAGAGGGGAGAUGCUGUAUAUCUGAGUGAAGAAGCAGGGAGGGAGCACAGCCAUUGUAACCAUACUAUGCAGGCCUGUCUCUGUUGGGGUAACAUGAUGCCUUUCUAACUUCAGUCGUAGCCCUUCUCUAGUGAAAUAUCAUGUAGGAGUCUGCUUUGGAACAUGGGACAUCUCUUUUCACAGCUCUUCUCAUGCUGCUACAUGUGAGAGGAAAGUGGAAAUCCUUCCCAUCCUGCAGAGCGUACAAAGAGGCUCAGCAUGUGUGUGAGCAGUGUUGGGGUGCAGACCCAUGCAAGGCCAUGC